rnacentral:rRNA from 1 species
AUUGAACGCUGGCGGCAGGCCUAACACAUGCAAGUCGGGCGAGCGGAGGACGGGGGAGUAUAGUAUGGGGAUCUGCCUGACGGAGGGGGAUAACUACCGGAAAAGGUAGCUAAUAACGCACACCCGCAGAUGAACCCAGAUGGGAUUAGCUUGUAGGUUAGGUAACGGCUCACCUAGGCGACGAUCCCUAGAUGGUCUGAGAGGAUGAUCAGCCACACUGGGACUGAGACACGGCCCGGCCUCCUACGGGAGGCAGCAGUGGGGAAUAUUGCACAAGGGGAGCAAGCCUGAUGCAGCCAUGCCGCGUGUAUGAAGAAGGCCUGCGGGUUGUAAAGUACUUUCAGUCGGUAAGCGUUACCGACAGAAGAAGCACCGGCUAACUCCGUGCCAGCAGCCGCGGUAAUUC